rnacentral:piRNA from 1 species
ACAGCGUGUAAACACAUGUUCUGUGCCUG